UUUGGUACAAAACUGUCUCGGUAGCGCGUAAAUCUCAUAAUCUUAAGGUCGUGAGUUCGAUCCUCACCCGGGGCAU